rnacentral:rRNA from 1 species
GACGAACGCUGGCGGCGUGCUUAACACAUGCAAGUCGAACGGAAAGGCCCUGCUUUUGUGGGUUGCUCGAUUGGCGAACGGGUGAGUAACACGUGAGUAACCUGCCCUUGACUUUGGGAUAACUUCAGGAAACUGGGGCUAAUACCGGAUAGGAGCUCCUGCUGCAUGGGGGGGGUUGGAAAGUUUCGGCGGUUGGGGAUGGACUCGCGGCUUAUCAGCUUGUUGGUGGGGUAGUGGCUUACCAAGGCUUUGACGGGUAGCCGGCCUGAGAGGGUGACCGGCCACAUUGGGACUGAGAUACGGCCCAGACUCCUACGGGAGGCAGCAGUGGGGAAUAUUGCACAAUGGGCGGAAGCCUGAUGCAGCAACGCCGCGUGCGGGAUGACGGCCUUCGGGUUGUAAACCGCUUUCGCCUGUGACGAAGCGUGAGUGACGGUAAUGGGUAAAGAAGCACCGGCUAACUACGUG